rnacentral:misc_RNA from 1 species
UACAGAGGUGGCAAGCGUUGUUCGGAAUUACUGGGCGUAAAGGGCGCGUAGGCGGCCUUGUCAGUCAGUUGUGAAAUCCCCAGGCUCAACCUGGGAAUGGCGUCUGAUACUACAAGGCUCGAGUGCGGGAGAGGGAUGUGGAAUUCCAGGUGUAGCGGUGAAAUGCGUAGAUAUCUGGAGGAACACCGGUGGCGAAGGCGGCAUCCUGGACCGACACUGACGCUGAGGCGCGAAAGCCAGGGGAGCAAACGGG